CAGCAGCCGCGGUAAUACAGAGGGUGCAAGCGUUAAUCGGAAUUACUGGGCGUAAAGCGCGCGUAGGUUGUUUGUUAAGUUGGAUGUGAAAGCCCCGGGCUCAACCUGGGAACUGCAUCCAAAACUGGCAAGCUAGAGUACGGUAGAGGGUGGUGGAAUUUCCUGUGUAGCGGUGAAAUGCGUAGAUAUAGGAAGGAACACCAGUGGCGAAGGCGACCACCUGGACUGAUACUGACACUGAGGUGCGAAAGCGUGGGGAGCAAACAGGAUUAGAUACCCCCGUAGUCCCUGUCUCUUAUAC
rnacentral:rRNA from 1 species